rnacentral:rRNA from 1 species
GACGAACGCUGGCGGCGUGCCUAAUACAUGCAAGUCGAACGCAGCGGCGGACGGGUGAGUAAUGCCUAGGAAUCUGCCUGGUAGUGGGGGAUAACGUCCGGAAACGGGCGCUAAUACCGCAUACUAUCAGAUGAGCCAAGGUCGGAGUAGCUAGCUGGUGGGGUAAAGGCCUACCAAGGCGACGAUCCGUAACUGGUCUGAGAGGAUGAUCAGUCACACUGGAACUGAGACACGGUCCAGACUCCUACGGGAGGCAGCAGUGGGGAAUAUUGGACAAUGGGCGAAAGCCUGAUCCAGCCAUGCCGCGUGUGUGAAGAAGGUCUUCGGAUUGUAAAGCACUUUAAGUUGGGAGGCGUUACCAACAGAAUAAGCACCGGCUAACUUCGUGCCAACCGCCGCGGUAAUUC